rnacentral:rRNA from 1 species
AAUGGCGCAUACAAAGAGAAGCGACCUCGCGAGAGCAAGCGGACCUCACAAAGUGCGUCGUAGUCCGGAUCGGAGUCUGCAACUCGACUCCGUGAAG